GGCUAGAGCAUUCCAACUACAGGUAAUGACUAUAUAAAAAAAAGUAGGGGAAGAAAGAUAGAAAACUAGUCCUUCUUAACACAGAUGCUCGACCUUAAGAAGUAAUGUAUAUUAUGUUGCCCAAAUGCACCCAAUCACACACCUAUCAAAAUUAUGGAAUUACAAUUAUGGAAUUACACUCUGAGUUGAAGUAUCAAAAUUAGCACUAAUUCUCUUAUCUGAGUGCUCAGGAGGGUGUAUGGCUCAAGUUCCCUUCAUAUUCACUUGAUGAAUUAAAAAUUGUCUAAUAAAAAUGUCCAGUUAGUACGAGUUGAGUGAAUGGAUUACAGGUCCAGCUAAUUGAUUUUUCCCAAUAGAAUGUCCCUGUCUUUCAUGUUCUAUGGUUGAUAUGUAUCAUUACAGGGCAUGUAUCAAUAGAAUGUCCUUGUCAUACAUGUUAUAUUUUUCAUAUUUGAGCUAAUAUCCUGAUAUUAAGAAAUGCCACCGGACCACAUAGACGCCAGACUAACAACUGUGUGACCCUUUUGAUAUAUAAGAUCAUCCUUCAUCAAUAAUUGAUUGAGAUUAUUCAUGCUGCCAUCAUAUUGCCCUGCAGGUUGAAGUUUUUCAUCUCAAA
rnacentral:misc_RNA from 1 species